CUCCUCCUGCUCUGCCUUCUUCUUCCCUCCCCUUGGCCAGGUGCGGUCCGUGCGAGCUGCCCUCCAGUCUCAGGGUUAGGGCGGGCAGGGCUCUGCCCUCGCCCCGCUGCCGCACUUCGAGAGAGGGACGAACGGAGGGUCUUACCGGGGAUCUUGUCUCCCCUAGGCAGGUCCUCUGUGGCAGCUUCUCUAGACCUUUGUGCAGUAUUUGGGGAAAAAAAAACUCAAGUCCAACAGAAAAUCUCUCUGUUCUUUCCAAUUGAUCUGAAAAUUCUCCAAAACCUGGGCUGCAGCCAAAGAUUUCAAGAUGUGCCCAUUCAAAUAAAGCUGAGUUAUAAAGCAAAGACAUUCCUACAAAUGAGAAGCAAACUGUGAUUAGUGUUGAAAAUUUUUGUUCCCCUUGGAGAACAGAGAAGUUCAAAGAGCCUCUGUUUCUUCCUGAUGUAAAAGAAAUCUCACUUCUGACUCUUCAACACUUUUCAGCUGUGUCGCUUGAUUCUGAGAGUCUUCCUCAUCUGAACUGUCCCUGAAGCCAGGUGGAGGAGCAGCAAUGGCCAUGUUUAAGGUAUGCAAUAGGAAAUCAUCUUCAUUAUCAUCACCUUCUGGGGGUGGAAGUGAAGUCAAAUCAAUAAUGUCAUCACUAGAACCAGAAAGGCUGAGAAGAGCAGGCCUAUUGAUUUCUCCUACCAUAAUGUCUUCUUCACAGCUUACUUCAUCUUCGUCCUCAGCAUCAUCUGUGUUUUCUGCAUAGCAAAUAUCAUGCAGCAAAGGCUCUUCAAUCCCUUCCGCAGCUCCAAAUAUUUUACCAUCGCUUAUAGUUGCGUAAACAGAAUUCGUAGCAAACUGAAGACUUUCAGCAUCUGGGGACAACUCCAGGCCUUUAAUGUCAUUGGCAUUACUAAUGUAAAUGGCUCUUUGUUUUUCUAGUACUUCUGGACUUUCAUCCAAAAGCCUUUCAUAGCCAAGAGUCUGGGGACUGAUACCAU